rnacentral:rRNA from 1 species
CACCGCGGUUAUACGAGAGGCCCAAGUUGACAGACACCGGCGUAAAGCGUGGUUAAGGUACACGAAAACUAAAGCCGAACACCUUCAGGGCAGUUAUACGCAUCCGAAGGCACGAAGCCCCACCACGAA